CAGUAGCCGCGGGAAAACGAAGGGGGCUAGCGUUGUUCGGAUUUACUGGGCGUAAAGGGUGCGUAGGCGGACUGAUAAGUCAGGGGUGAAAUCCCAAGGCUCAACCUUGGAACUGCCUUUGAUACUGUUAGUCUUGAGUUCGAGAGAGGUGAGUGGAACUGCGAGUGUAGAGGUGAAAUUCGUAGAUAUUCGCAAGAACACCAGUGGCGAAGGCGGCUCACUGGCUCGAAACUGACGCUGAGGCACGAAAGCGUGGGGAGCAAACAGGAUUAGAUACCCCGGUAGUCCCUGUCUCUUAUAC
rnacentral:rRNA from 1 species